rnacentral:misc_RNA from 1 species
AUCAAUUCAAACCUCUUGUGAAUCACAUAUUCAAAGAAAACAUGAUGUAAAUAUUCUAUGCUUUAGGCGUAGAUAGAAAGUAAUUAACUGUAUACAAGACACAUGAAAGGGUAACACAAGUUGUCACUCAUCAUCCUUGUAUGGGUACUCUUCUGGGACUUGCUUUAGAAGUUUCACCUGCAACUCAAACGCAUCAUCACCUCGAAGCAUAUCACGCGCCCAUGUCACUUCUGUCUUCAUUGACACCAUCUCCAAUGCCCCUCUAAUGACUCCACUUAAAAUGUUGCAGUAGUAUAGCCCUUGACAUGUGUCAGGAAGCUCAACAAAGUCUACCAAGGGAUUAUCCUCCAAAAUGAUACUGCAACAUGUCCCAUCAGCAUCCCAAUUGGUCACAGAUGCACUAACCCCUAGGAACAUUUUGAAACCCACCUUUGCAAUUACUUCAGCUGUCUCCCUGAAGUCCACACAUCUGGUGACAUUAGAUUUUGCCAGAAACUCAUCAACCAGCCGAAUUCCAAUGUUAUAACCCAUUUGAUCUAGCUGUUUGUUGACUUCUUCAACCUCCUCCAGAUCCGUAAGCAAUUGACGCACAAUCGCCCCAUAGGUUAAUGUAAAUAGCUCCGCAUUCACGCGCUCAACACUAGCGAAGAUUGCAUCACCGGAUCGGGGAGCACCAGGAGGAGCCAUUGUUAUUGAGAGAUCUAGACUGUGAAAGUUAUUAGAGAAGUUUUUGAUGUCUUCG